GCAAGAGAGAGUGCAGCAGUGAGGGCUAGAGGCAGUUCUCCUCUGCCGGUUAGCGAAGCUAGGGUGAGACAGGCCAUGAAAAGGCAGUUCCCCAAUAUGUUUAACACUGAUCAGCCAAGAGGAAGACGACGGUUUUCAACCCCUGCCCCUUGCAUGGUGAAAAGGACAGACUUUUCUCUGUAUGUUCUUUCGGAACCCAGUCAGCUCACACCAAAGGUCUCAGAAGAGCUUGAACUUGCGCAUGCUGGCCUUGGGAAAAGAAUAUUAAGCAUACCAGACAACCUGAAACAUGACGAGAUUGUGGCUCUUCUUGAGGAGGAAUUUCCUAAACUGAAGACCUUACAAGGAGGCUGGAUGUUUUUUAAGUCUACGGGUAUAACCUUUAUAAAUUUUAAAUUAAGCAAAAUAUAUUGGUUAAUCUUUGUCAAUUUCAAAACCAUAGAUGUGUCUUUUCUUUUUCAUUUUAAAAUAGGUGGUAGUGGA